rnacentral:rRNA from 1 species
ACGGAGGAUGCAAGCGUUAUCCGGAUUUAUUGGGUUUAAAGGGUGCGUAGGCGGAUUAAUAAGUCAGUGGUGAAAUCCUACGGCUUAACUGUAGAACUGCCAUUGAUACUGUUAGUCUUGAGUAUGGUUGAGGUAGGUGGAAUGUGUCAUGUAGCGGUGAAAUGCUUAGAUAUGACACAGAACACCAAUGGCGAAGGCAGCUUACCAACCCAUUACUGACGCUGAGGCACGAAAGCGUGGGGAUCAAACAG